rnacentral:rRNA from 1 species
UACGGAGGGGGCUAGCGUUGUUCGGAAUUACUGGGCGUAAAGCGCGCGUAGGCGGACCUGCAAGUCGGGGGUGAAAGCCCGAGGCUCAACCUCGGAACUGCCCUUCGAUACUGCGGGUCUCGAGUCCGGGAGAGGUGAGUGGAAUUCCUAGUGUAGAGGUGAAAUUCGUAGAUAUUAGGAAGAACACCAGUGGCGAAGGCGG